rnacentral:rRNA from 1 species
UACGUAGGGUGCGAGCGUUAAUCGGAAUUACUGGGCGUAAAGCGUGCGCAGGCGGUUUUGUAAGCCAGAUGUGAAAUCCCCGGGCUUAACCUGGGAAUGGCAUUUGGGACUGCAAGGCUUGAGUGCGGCAGAGGAGACUGGAAUUCCCGGUGUAGCAGUGAAAUGCGUAGAUAUCGGGAGGAACAUCGGUGGCGAAGGCGGCAUCCUGGACCGGUAUUGACGCUGAGGCGCGAAAGCCAGGGGAGCAAACGGG